UGCCUAACAGCAAACUAGUUUACGUGGAUAUUUACAAUCCUCUUCUUGACGUCAUCCAAAACUAUCGUAAAUAUGGGUUUGAAGUUGCGGAUAGAGGGUGUUGUGGAACUGGGAAGAUCGAGGUGACGUUUCUUUGUAACAAAUUCGUGAAGACCUGCAACGAUCCGAACAAGUUCGUGUUUUGGGACAGUUUUCAUCCAACCGAAGCUACAUACAGCUACCUCGUCGCUCCGAUCAUUCAAAAAUAUAUUUCUAAUUUCCUAUAGUUCAAUUAAAGUUUAAUUUUCAUAAAAAUAAUAUUACAAAAUUGAAGGCAAAAAAAGGAUGUGUAACUUUAAUUCUCUCAAUUAUAUAUGUAUUAUCAUUUUGUUUACAUUAAUGAUGAGCUAAUAAUUAAU